rnacentral:rRNA from 1 species
UAGGGAAUAUUGGUUAAUGGGCGAAAGCCUGAACCAGCAACGCCGCGUGUGCGAUGAAGGCCUUCGGGUCGUAAAGCACUUUUUGAAGGGAUGAGGAAGGACAGUACCUUCAGAAUAAGUCUCGGCUAACUACGUGCCAGCAGCCGCGGUAAAACGUAGGAGACAAGCGUUAUCCGGAUUUACUGGGCGUAAAGCGCGUGCAGGCGGCACGGAAAGUUGGAUGUGAAAGCUCCCGGCUUAACUGGGAGAGGUCGUUCAAAACUACCGAGCUAGAGGAUGGGAGAGGGAAGUGGAAUUCCGGGUGUAGUGGUGAAAUGCGUAGAUAUCCGGAGGAACACCAGUGGCGAAAGCGGCUUCCUGGCCCAUAACUGACGCUCAGACGCGAAAGCUAGGGUAGCAAACGGG